rnacentral:rRNA from 1 species
UACGAGGGGGGCAAGCGUUGUUCGGAAUUAUUGGGCGUAAAGGGUGCGUAGGCGGCGCGGUAUGUCUCUUGUGAAAUCUCCAGGCUCAACUUGGAGUCUGCAAGGGAAACUGCCGUGCUUGAGUACUGGAGAGGUGAGUGGAAUUCCCGGUGUAGCGGUGAAAUUCGUAGAUAUCGGGAGGAACACCAGUGGCGAAGGCGGCGAUCUGGGAAGAUACUGACGCUGAGGUGCGAAAGCGUGGGGAGCAAACAGG